CAGCCGCCGCGGUAAUACCGGUGGCCCGAGUGGUAGCCGCUUUUAUUGGGUCUAAAGGGUCCGUAGCCGGUUCGGUCAGUCCAUUGGGAAAUCCGGAUGCUCAACAUCCGGGCUUCCAGUGGAUACUGCCGAACUUGGGAUCGGGGGAGGUAAGAGGUACUAUAGGGGUAGGAGUGAAAUCUUGUAAUCCCUGUGGGACCACCUGUGGCGAAGGCGUCUUACCAAAACGAGUCCGACGGUGAGGGACGAAAGCUGGGGGCACGAACCGGAUUAGAUACCCGGGUAGUCCCAGCCGUAAACGAUGCUCGCUAGGUGUCAGGCAUGGCGUGACUGUGUUUGGUGCCGAAGGGAAGCCGUGAAGCGAGCCACCUGGGAAGUACGGCCGCAAGGCUGAAACUUAAAGGAAUUGGCGGGGGAGCACAACAACGGGUGGAGCCUGCGGUUUAAUUGGACUCAACGCCGGAAAACUCACCAGGGGAGACAGCAAUAUGUAGGUCAAGCUGAAGACUUUACCUGAAUCGCUGAGAGGUGGUGCAUGGCC
rnacentral:rRNA from 1 species